CCUACGGGGUGCAGCAGUGAGGAAUAUUGGUCGAUGGGCGAGAGCCUGAACCAGCCAAGUCGCGUGAGGGAGUACUGCCCUAUGGGUUGUAAACCUCUUUUGUCGGGGAGCAAAAGCCGGACGUGUCCGGCUGUGAGAGUACCCGAAGAAAAAGCAUCGGCUAACUCCGUGCCAGCAGCCGCGGUAAUACGGAGGAUGCGAGCGUUAUCCGGAUUUAUUGGGGUUAAAGGGUGCGCAGGCGGAAUGUCAAGUCAGCGGUAAAAUUUGGGGGCUCAACCCCGUCGUGCCGUUGAAACUGGCGUUCUUGAGUGAGCGAGAAGUAUGCGGAAUGCGUGGUGUAGCGGUGAAAUGCAUAGAUAUCACGCAGAACUCCGAUUGCGAAGGCAGCAUACCGGCGCUCAACUGACGCUCAUGCACGAAAGCGUGGGUAUCGAACAGGAUUAGAUACACCGGUAGUC
rnacentral:rRNA from 1 species